rnacentral:rRNA from 1 species
CCUACGGGAGUCUGCAGUGAGGAAUAUUGGUCAAUGGGCGUAAGCCUGAACCAGCCAAGUCGCGUGAGGGAUGAAGGUUCUAUGGAUCGUAAACCCUUUUAUAAGGGAAUACAGUGUGGGACGUGUCCUAUUUUGUAUGUACCUUAUGAAUAAGGAUCGGCUAACUCCGUGCCAGCAGCCGCGGUAAUACGGAGGAUCCGAGCGUUAUCCGGAUUUAUUGGGUUUAACGGGUGCGUAGGCGGCCUUUUAAGUCAGCGGUGAAAGUCUGUGGCUCAACCAUAGAGUGGCCGUUGAAACUGGGGGGCUUUAGUAGGUUUGAGGCAGGCGGAAUGCGUGGGGUAGCGGUGAAAUGCUUAGAUAUCACGCAGAACCCCGAUUGCGAAGGCAGCCUGCCAAGCCAUGACUGACGCUGAUGCACGAAAGCGUGGGGAUCAAACAGGAUUAGAUACCCCUGUAGUC